rnacentral:rRNA from 1 species
GUGCCAGCAGCCGCGGUAAUACGAAGGGUGCUAGCGUUGUUCGGAAUCACUGGGCGUAAAGCGUGCGUAGGCGGCUUGGCAAGUCUGAUGUGAAAGCCCGGGGCUUAACCCCGGAACUGCAUUGGAAACUGCCUUGCUGGAGUUCGGAAGGGGUAAGUGGAAUUCCUAGUGUAGAGGUGAAAUUCGUAGAUAUUAGGAGGAACACCAGUGGCGAAGGCGACUUACUGGUCCGAUACUGACGCUGAGGCACGAAAGCGUGGGGAGCAAACAGGAUUAGAUACCCUGGUAGUCC